CCAUUCUAUCCAUUCUUGUUUUGUAGUUUUGUUAAAAGACAGUGCCAUUUUUAGAUCUUAUGCCAUACACUUUUUAUUUAUAAUUUUUAUCCAAAAUUUAAACUUGGAUUAAAGAUAUUACCAUAGAAUUAAAGUGAUUUACAUGAUUAUUGAACACUGCUUUAUAGAAUAAAAAGCAUCAUAACACAAAUAUAUGAUGAAGGCGCUCUCAGGAUAUAUAACGUUGUUACUGAUUGGUUUAGUGACGUCACAAGGCGGUAUUUCAGACAGUCUGUUGCAGCAACUUAUGCAUGGUACACCAACACGAAGACUCCAACUUCGACGAAGCCGCGUGUUCGACUCCCCAAGAAUUAGCCAGCGAUAUAAUUUAG